GCGGGAAGAGCUCAAAUUUGAAAUCUGGCAGUCUUCGAUUGUCCGAGUUGUAAUCUAUAGAGGCGUUUUCCGUGCCGGACCGUGUCCAAGUCUCCUGGAAAGGAGUAUCAAAGAGGGUGAUAAUCCCGUACUUAACACGACCACCGGUGCUCUGUGAUACGUCUUCUACGAGUCGAGUUGUUUGGGAAUGCAGCUCAAAAUGGGUGGUGAAUUCCAUCUAAAGCUAAAUAUUGGCGAGAGACCGAUAGCGAACAAGUACCGUGAGGGAAAGAUGAAAAGCACUUUGGAAAGAGAGUUAAACAGUACGUGAAAUUGUUGAAAGGGAAACGAUUGAAGUCAGUCGUGUUCUUUGGAUUCAGCCAGUUCUGCUGGUCUACUUCCUUGGAACGGGUCAACAUCAGUUUUGUCCGGUGGAUAAAGGUAGUAGGAAUGUGACUUCUCCGGAAGUGUUAUAGCCUAUUAUCACAUACACUGGGUGAGACUGAGGACUGCAGCUCGCCUUUAUGGCCGGCCUUCGGGCACGUUCGAGCUUAGGAUGUUGACAUAAUGGCUUUAAACGACCCGUCUUG
rnacentral:rRNA from 1 species